AAUCCAUCUAAAGCUAAAUAUUGGCGAGAGACCGAUAGCGAACAAGUACCGUGAGGGAAAGAUGAAAAGAACUUUGGAAAGAGAGUUAAACAGUACGUGAAAUUGCUGAAAGGGAAACGCUUGAAGUCAGUCGCGUUGGCCGGGAAUCAGCCUUGCUUUUGCUUGGUGUACUUUCUGGUUGACGGGCCAGCAUCAGUUUUGACCGGUGGAAAAAGUUCAGGGGAAUGUGGCAUCUUCGGGUGUGUUAUAGCCCUUGUUCGUAUACAUCGGUUGGGACUGAGGAACUCAGCACGCCGCAAGGCCGGGUCUUUGACCACGUUCGUGCUUAGGAUGCUGGCAUAAUGGCUUUAAUCGACCCGUUG
rnacentral:rRNA from 1 species